GAAGUGCGAUAAGCAGUGCGAAUUGCAGAACCGUGAGUCAUCAGAUUUUUGAACGCAACUGGCGCCGUGCGGGGCAGCCCGCCGUCACGCCUGGUCCAGUGUCUUGUUCUCUCCUCACCCAAAUCAUCAUGCGAGAGAUACCCUUCUCUUGCCAAGCAUGAAAGCACUCUGCAUUCUGCGAGCGACUUUCGGGUCGCACUCCAUGCAGCAGUCACAUUGCUCACAAUGUGGACUCAUGGGGAGUAGAGGCAGUGCGGCGACAGCUGCCAGUGCUUAGACACACCAACUUAGGUACAGUAUCUGGGCUCAGGCGGGACCACCCGCUGAACUUAA
rnacentral:misc_RNA from 1 species